rnacentral:rRNA from 1 species
UACAGAGGUCUCGAGCGUUGUUCGGAUUCAUUGGGCGUAAAGGGCGCGUAGGCGGCCUUCUAAGUCGAACGUGAAAUCCCCGGGCUCAACCCGAGAACUGCGUCCGAUACUGGAAGGCUUGAAUCCGGGAGAGGGAUGCGGAAUUCCAGGUGUAGCGGUGAAAUGCGUAGAUAUCUGGAGGAACACCGGUGGCGAAGGCGGCAUCCUGGACCGGCAUUGACGCUGAGGCGCGAAAGCCAGGGGAGCAAACGGG